AUGUUCAAAAGUUCAUCCACAGGUAUAAUUCAGUCAAAUUGUCUCUCAGAAGUGAAUUAUGUAUCACGACUGUUUUUUUUUAAACUCGGUUAUUUCUCUCUGUAUCAGUCCAGUCGUGUUGUGAUUGAACAGCAUCAUGAAACAAUUUACUGCACCGUGGAAAAGCCGGCCACAUCCCAGACACAUCCAGGAAACAACACUGUCAGCAACAAAGUAGAAACCAUUUAUGACACUCCAUCACGACAUACCAAGGCUUGUCAAGUAGACAGUGUGGAGGUGAUGAGAGACAAUCAGGAGCAACAGCAAUCUGGACAAGACAGAACUAUUCAAGUAAAAGCUACAGUUCACCAGGCAGCAGAACCCGAUUCAGAUCCAAUAAACACUGUUUACUGCAAACUGGGAGAGAUAUGACACAAACACAUACUGUGCAUAUCUGAGACGUCACUUCAGUGGAGAUUUAAAUGUAAUUUAAUAUAAAUUCUGUUUUUUUUUUUUUUUUUACUAGUGAAUAGAUGGGUUUAAGCAUCAUUGAUGGAGACAAUACACACUGUAUGCUGCCUACUAUUUUGUGAAACAGUAUAUGCAAUACAUUCUUAAAAAUAAAUGUUCAAAAAUAUAUUCUUUUUUUGUAGUGAUGCAAUAGAAGGAACCUUUCAAAGGAACCUUUCAAAAAAAAAAGAAAAAAAAAAAAAAAGAAACGUGGAAUGGAAAGAUUCUUCAUGGAAACAUCAAUCAUCAAUGAAAAUAAAGAACCUUUAUUUUUAAGAGUGCAUGCAAUGAUAUACAUUUUGAACAGUCCUAUAUUGUUGUCCUGUGACCUCACUGUGUAGCAUGUUUAAUCGAGUUGAGUCGUCAUCUCUGAAAAGUGUGUCAUUUUGCAUUUUGAAUUCCAUUUUGUUUAAAUAUGUCAUCAUUUGGAAAUGUUGAUGUUAAAAGUUACAGCACAUAUCAUGUCUAGUUCAUUCCUUACACUGGAAAUGAAAAGUCCAGUUGAGCGCAGUUACAUGAUUGUAGUAUUCUUUAUCUCAUACAUCCCUGUGGUUGCACCUUUUGAAGAAAAUAGCGUGCAAACAUAAUCGUCUACUGUAUUACACGUUUUCGCGAUCACACUGAUGCUGAUGCAUGAAGAUUUUUUUUGGUGCACAGGUUUAAAUUAAUCUCAUUUGCUCAUAACAGUAUAUGAAUCUGUGCGGACAACUCAUAGUUAGGAAUGGAGAUGAAAUAUUGUAAUACUAAACAGUUUUAUUUUUGUAAAAACAAGGCAAUUUAACCAGUUUGACUUUAUUUCUGUCAUAUGUCUACAGACGUUUUUACUGAGAAUUAACAGAUGUUUAGAAUGUUUUAUUUACAUUUUUUUUUAUUUUGACUGAUGUUUUUGUGUGUUUAAAUCAUAUUUAUGAUGGCAAGAAAACCAAGAACAAAUCUGCUCAGGUGCGGAUAUUUAUGCAUUCAUUAUGAUCUUCAUUAUGCAGUGUUCCUCAAAUCUUGCCCUGGAGGACCAAAGUCACCUGCCUGUGAUUUUUUUAAUGAUCCCAAAGACAUUGAUUAGCACACCCAGGUGUGUUUGAUUAGGGUUAGAGCUAAACUCUGCAGGAAAGUGGAUCUGGUGGUCCAGAUUUGAGGAUCCCUGAUCUAGAUAAAGUGCACAGACAUCAAAAAUCGUAUGAAUCAACAGUGGUGACAGUCAAAUGAAAGACUUCCUGCUGUAGUGCAUGAUGGGAACCCCCCCCCCCCCCCCCCCCCCCCAAAAAAAAAAACCUCAACCAUGAAUCCCAGCAUGCAUUUUGACAUGAAUAAAUUAUACAGAUGAAUUAUCUCACUGUGUAUUAUUCUUAAUACUUGCUUUUAUUUUUCCUGUUUUGCUGUGACUUUCGUUGCUUGUUUUGUGAUGGUCAGAGAUUAUCUGGCCAGAGAUUAUUAUUCAUACGCUGAUUCUUGAUGUCUGUGUGUGUCUAAUGCUGCAGGAGUUGAUUUUUUUUUUUUUUUUUUGUGCACAUUGAUUUUGAUGUUGUUCAGAGUAGCUGAUUGUCACAACUAAGCUAAAUCUCUAAGAAAGUGUCUUAGCACAAAGUUCAACCAUAAAAUAAACAUCUCCCACAUAAUAAGAGUGUUACCUGAAUGUGAUCAGUGAAUCAGGUCACCCCAUGAUGACUGUAUCGUCAGCAUCAAUAACAUUCUGAUCCUGAUUAUAUUUGGCUUUUCUUGCUAUAAUAUCUUAUAAACACACAGUUAUCACAGCCAGAAAAAAAGCACAAUAGUCAAAGGUCAGGAGCCCAAGUGAAGCAAACGCUAAUCACUAUAAUGGUGAUUUCAAUUGAAAUGCAAUAAAACAUCAGCGUCUAAACCUCUGUUAAUUCACAGUAUAAGAACUUCUGUAGACAUAUGACAGAAAACUCAAGUCAAACUGGUUAGUAAUAAGUGAAGCUGGUAACACUGUUUGCAGAGUUGUUUAAUCAACCUCUGCUGGCUCUUGAGGGUCUGGUCUUCAACACACCUCUGGUCUUGACUAUUUAUUUUAUUUAUUAAAAUUUACUUAGAAAGGGACCAUGUACAUUUUUAACAUAAAUAUUUCAAUUGCAUGCAUUGUACCGAAUUCAGCCAAUGGCUAGUUUAAUCCGCAGUCUCUUGGCAUGUAAUCAUAAUCAUAGGUAAAUAUAAAAACAUAAAACAACAAACACAUACAAUACAGUACUACUACAUCCUAUCAGAGCCAAAAAAGAACAAUAAAGAUAGCGUCCAGUUAAACCACGUCAGUAUUUACAGAGUUGAGUUGAUUUUAAAUAAGAUUUUAGUUUUACUUUAAAAAUGUCAAUAGAUGUGCACAUCCCUAUGUCUUCUGGUAUGUGUUCCAAUGAAUAAUAGCUUAUUUCACUGAGAAAGAUGAUAGUCAAGUCAAGUCACCUUUAUUUAUAUAGAGCUUUUAACAAUACAGAUUGCGUCAAAGCUACAGUACAGCAUUAAUUAGGAAAAUAGUGUGUCAAUAAUGCAAAAUGAUAAUAGUAAACACUAAUUUUUGAGUUAAAGGCAGUUCAUCGUUGAAUUCAGUGAUGUCAUCAUCCAGCUCAGUUCAGUUUGAAUAGUAUCUGUGCAAUCAAGUCAAUGAUAUUGCUGGACAUUAAGUGUCCCCAACUAAGCAAGCCAGAGGCGACAGCGGCAAGGAACCAAAACUCCAUCGGUGACAGAAUGGAGAAAAAACCUUGGGAGAAACCAGGCUCAGUCGGGGCCAGUUCUCCUCUGACCAGACGAAACCAGCAGUUCAAUUCCAGGCUGCAGCAAAGUCAGAUUGUGCAGAGGACUCAACAGGUUCCUGUGGUCUUGUCCUGGUGGUCGUCUGAGACAAGGUCUUUACAGGGGAUCUGUCUCUGGGGCUCUAGUUGUCCUGGUCUCUGCUUACAUUCAGGGCUGUAGAGGUUCUCUCUAGGUGCUGAUCCACCAUCUGGGCUGGAUACAGACUAGAUCUGGUGGCUACGGUGACCUCGGAAUGAGAGAGAAACAGACUAAUAUUAGCGUAGAUGCCAUUCUUCUAACGAUGCAGCAAGUACAUCAGGUGUUAUGGGAAGUGUUCCUGGUUCCGGUUUACCUAAUUAAUGCAGCCUAAAAACCCUUUAACGGAUUUGGAU
rnacentral:lncRNA from 12 species